rfam:Gossypium raimondii Chr08_contig_1322, whole genome shotgun sequence.
UAUUAAAAAUUUAUUCAUUUAUAUUGUUAAAAAUUGACGUAGCUAACAGAAUAACCAUAUAGUGACACGUGACAUGCCAUGUGUACCUCAUGUUGAUGUAUUAAGACUAGUUUUUAAUAGUAGAAAUUGAUAAGAGUUUUUAAUA